AUAGGUUUUCACAGGUGUCCAAGCAGUGGUGAUGAGCAGAGUGCCUGUCUGCAGGGAUUGCAGUGUUGGCCAAGCCUUUUGUUGUUCCUUAAUCCUUCAGGAGACAUAAAAAUAAGGUCGAAUCAACAGCGUGGAGAAGAUAAUUUAAACAGUGGAAGGAGCUGAAAUUAUCUGGACCAAGGUCACAUUUCAACCUUUCUCAUGUAUGGAACAUUAAUGGGUCAGACAUUCUUUGUAGGAAGUAUUAAAACAAAUUAUAUGUAUAUA